rnacentral:rRNA from 1 species
GUGGGGAAUAUUGGACAAUGGGCGAAAGCCUGAUCCAGCCAUGCCGCGUGUGUGAAGAAGGUCUUCGGAUUGUAAAGCACUUUAAGUUGGGAGGAAGGGCAGUAAGUUAAUACCUUGCUGUUUUGACGUUACCGACAGAAUAAGCACCGGCUAACUUCGUGCCAGCAGCCGCGGUAAUACGAAGGGUGCAAGCGUUAAUCGGAAUUACUGGGCGUAAAGCGCGCGUAGGUGGUUUUGUAAGUUGGAGGUGAAAUCCCCGGGCUCAACCUGGGAACUGCCUCCAAAACUGCAAGACUAGAGUACGGUAGAGGGUAGUGGAAUUUCCUGUGUAGCGGUGAAAUGCGUAGAUAUAGGAAGGAACACCAGUGGCGAAGGCGACUACCUGGACUGAUACUGACACUGAGGUGCGAAAGCGUGGGGAGCAAACAGGAUUAGAAACCCGAGUAGUCC